rnacentral:pre_miRNA from 13 species
AAGUAUCUGGGCGUUUUGGGUGUGUGAUUUGUAGCAAAGUGAUAUGUAUUUGAUCAUCCCCUUGUUGCAAACCUCACGCCAAAGAUGGAUCCCAC